UAGGGAAUCUUCCACAAUGGGGGAAACCCUGAUGCAGCGACGCCGCGUGAGUGAAGAAGUAUUUCGGUAUGUAAAGCUCUAUCAGCAGGGACGAAAAUGACGGUACCUGAGUAAGAAGCCCCGGCUAACUACGUCACUGCAGCCGCGGUAAUACGUAGGGGGCAAGCGUUAUCCGGAUUUACUGGGUGUAAAGGGAGCGUAGACUGUUAAGCAAGUCUGGAGUGAAAGGCGGGGGCUCAACCCCCGGACUGCUCUGGAAACUGUAUAACUAGAGUGCAGGAGGGGUAAGUGGAAUUCCUAGUGUAGCGGUGAAAUGCGUAGAUAUUAGGAGGGACACCAGUGGCGAAGGCGGCUUACUGGACUGUAACUGACGUUGAGGCUCGAAAGCGUGGGGAGCAAACAGG
rnacentral:rRNA from 1 species